rnacentral:ncRNA from 1 species
UGGAGGUAGAGGGCCUAUGGAUCGUGAAUUUCUUUUCCUAAAGAAGAAGCAAUAACGGUAUCUGGGGAAUAAGCAUUGGUUAACUUUGUGCCAGCAGCUGCGGUAAUACAGAGGAUGC